rnacentral:misc_RNA from 1 species
GUGACUCCUGACGCUCUAUGAUGACAAAUCAAUUAAAUUGUGAGCAUUCAAUUAAAAGAGGGCUUUGAGUGUUCACAAAACUUUUAAAGUUAGUAUGAAAAUAGAGAUAGUUUCCAAACAUUAAAUCCUGUUCUAACUUCCAAACAGUCAUAUGCAUAAAUUAUAAUACAGGCUUGCCAAGUCCAAUCCAAAAAAGUUGGAUUUCUAAUAGCUAAUUCAUAUGUUAAUUGAACCACAAACAAACUAGUUCUAAAAUGAAUCUGGAGUUGAUGUCACUUAUGAAUCAUCAAGUUGUAACCAAAUUGUAACACCCUGAUCCAACUUGACCCAAAUAAUUUGGAGGCCCUAAAUUACUGGAUCCAAAAUAGUUAACACAAGUUAUUUAGUAGUUAGGGUCAAGGGUUAUAUAAACCCACCUUGUCUUUCCUAUCCCACUGAUGUAGGACAUUACAAUCUCUCCCACUAAUUUUUGCGACGUCCUCAUCACAACCCAUGCUGAUGUUGUGCUAAUUUCUGAGAUCAAUUGUUAAGCCAGGACCAAACACUCGGGUAUUGUGGUUCACUAGUGUCUCGAGUGGCUCCACCUCGUCUCUAACCAUGGGUAGCCCUUUCCUCGUAGCCCACUAGCGCCGCACAAUUUUCUGACCCAGGGUGUUUCUAAUACCAACUGUAACACCUUGAUCCAACUGACCCAAAUAACUUUAAGGCCCUAAACCACUGGACCCAAAAUGGGUAACCCAAGUUAUUUAGCAGUUAGGGUCGAGGGUUAUAUAAACCCACUUUAUCUUUGCUAUCCCACCGAAAAGUGGAUAUAAAUAAACCUCAAAGGACAAGCCAAAAACUUAC